AUUGAACGCUGGCGGCAUGCUUUACACAUGCAAGUCGAACGGCAGCACGGACUUCGGUCUGGUGGCGAGUGGCGAACGGGUGAGUAAUACAUCGGAACGUGCCCAGUUGUGGGGGAUAACUACUCGAAAGAGUAGCUAAUACCGCAUGAGAACUGAGGUUGAAAGCAGGGGAUCGCAAGACCUUGCGCAACUGGAGCGGCCGAUGGCAGAUUAGGUAGUUGGUGGGAUAAAAGCUUACCAAGCCGACGAUCUGUAGCUGGUCUGAGAGGACGACCAGCCACACUGGGACUGAGACACGGCCCAGACUCCUACGGGAGGCAGCAGUGGGGAAUUUUGGACAAUGGGCGAAAGCCUGAUUCAGCAAUGCCGCGUGCAGGAUGAAGGCCUUCGGGCUGUAAACUGCUUUUGUACGGAACGAAAAGCUUCGGGUUAAUACCCUGGAGUCAUGACGGUACCGUAAGAAUAAGCACCGGCUAACUACGUGCCAGCCGCCGCCGUAAAAC
rnacentral:rRNA from 1 species